rnacentral:rRNA from 1 species
AACGAACGCUGGCGGCAGGCCUAACACAUGCAAGUCGAGCGAGGACUUCGGUUCUAGCGGCGGACGGGUGAGUAACGCGUGGGAAUGUGCCCUUCUCUACGGAAUAGCCCUGGGAAACUGGGAGUAAUACCGUAUACGCCCUAUUGGGGAAAGAUUUAUCGGAGAAGGAUCAGCCCGCGUUGGAUUAGGUAGUUGGUGGGGUAAUGGCCUACCAAGCCGACGAUCCAUAGCUGGUUUGAGAGGAUGAGCAGCCACACUGGGACUGAGACACGGCCCAGACUCCUACGGGAGGCAGCAGUGGGGAAUCUUAGACAAUGGGGGCAACCCUGAUCUAGCCAUGCCGCGUGAGUGAUGAAGGCCUUAGGGUUGUAAAGCUCUUUCAGCUGGGAAGAUAAUGACGGUACCAGCAGAAGAAGCCCCGGCUAACUCCGUG